AAAGGUCAAAACAAGCCCAAUUAAAGGCCGGUGUCAAGAAUCGCCGGAAGUCAAGUUUACGAAAUUUUGAAAUUAGACAUUGAUUUAAAAUUCAAUUUAUGACCACAAUAUAAAUGUAAAUUUUGAAGAGAAAAAUUUAUAUAUAUAUAUGGCGAAUUAUACAAAUAAAAUUCACAAACCAAGUUUGUUUAGACAUACAUUACUACAAAUUAUUUACACAUGACAAUAAGACAAUACAUAAAUGUUUUCAUGACUAUAGCUAGCAGUAAGACACACAUAAUUCAC
rnacentral:lncRNA from 1 species